rnacentral:rRNA from 1 species
GAGACAGUUCGGUCCCUAUCCGCUGCGCGCGUUGGAAAUUUGAGAAGGUCUGUCCUUAGUACGAGAGGACCGGGACGGACGAACCUCUGGUAUGUCAGUUGUACCGCCAGGUGCAUGGCUGAUUGGCUACGUUCGGGAGAGAUAACCGCUGAAGCAUCUAAGCGGGAAGCUUGCUUCGAGAUGAGAUUUCCUUCCCCUUUUGGGGGGUGAGGCUCCCAGGAGACUACUGGGUUGAUAGGCUGGAUGUGGUAGCGAGGACUGACGACUCGUGGAGCUGACCAGUACUAAUAAGCCGA